rnacentral:rRNA from 1 species
UACGAAGGGUGCAAGCGUUAUCCGGAUUUACUGGGUUUAAAGGGUGCGUAGGUGGGUCUGUAAGUCAGUGGUGAAAUCUCCGAGCUUAACUCGGAAACUGCCAUUGAUACUAUAGAUCUUGAAUUAUCUGGAGGUAAGCGGAAUAUGUCAUGUAGCGGUGAAAUGCUUAGAUAUGACAUAGAACACCAAUUGCGAAGGCAGCUUACUACGGAUCGAUUGACACUAAGGCACGAAAGCGUGGGGGAUCAAA